UACGGAGGGUGCAAGCGUUAUCCGGAUUCACUGGGUUUAAAGGGUGCGUAGGCGGGCAGGUAAGUCAGUGGUGAAAUCUUUGGGCUUAACCCGAAAACUGCCAUUGAUACUAUCUGUCUUGAAUAUUGUGGAGGUGAGCGGAAUAUGUCAUGUAGCGGUGAAAUGCUUAGAUAUGACAUAGAGCACCCAUUGCGAAGGCAGCUCACUACGCAUAUAUUGACGCUGAUGCACGAAAGCGUGGGGAUCAAACAGG
rnacentral:rRNA from 1 species